rnacentral:rRNA from 1 species
UACGAAGGGAGCUAGCGUUGUUCGGAAUCCCUGGGCGUAAAGCGCACGUAGGCGGAUUUGUCAGUCAGGGGUGAAAUCCCGGGGCUCAACCUCGGAACUGCCUUUGAUACAGCAAGUCUUGAGUUCGAGAGAGGUGGGUGGAAUUCCUAGUGUAGAGGUGAAAUUCGUAGAUAUUAGGAAGAACACCGGUGGCGAAGGCGGCCCACUGGCUCGAUACUGACGCUGAGGUGCGAAAGCGUGGGGAGCAAACAGG